CAUGACCCUUGAUAGAAAAGUCUGGAGGUCUAGAAUCAGGGUUGUAGGAUAGGGGCCCCUAGAGUUUUUCGUUCGCUUCUCCCGGGGUUGGGGGUGGGUCAGCAGGGUUACUCAUAGAUGAUUUGUGUUUACUGUACGUUAUUAUUACUUGCUAUUGUAUAUUGGUAUUUUGUUUCCUUUGUCCAGAUUAUUAUUAACGCUAUUUAUGCUGGAAUUUCUUAUGCAUGAAUGCUAUAUUGUUUCUGUUUUGUUUUUGUCUCUGUUAUGUUUUACUACUGUUUUCCCCCUAAUCCUAUGAGCCGAGGGUCGAUUGGAAACAGCCUCCC
rnacentral:lncRNA from 1 species